rnacentral:rRNA from 1 species
GACGAACGCUGGCGGCGUGCUUAACACAUGCAAGUCGAACGGAAAGGCCAUGCUCUUGUGGGGUGCACGAGUGGCGAACGGGUGAGUAACACGUGAGUAACCUGCCCCUGUCUUUGGGAUAACUCCAGGAAACUGGGGAUAAUACCGGAUAGGAGAUCCUGCUGCAUGGUGGGGGUUGGAGAGUUUCGGCGGUGGUGGAUGGUAUGGCGGCUUAUCAGCUUGUUGGUGGGGUAGUGGCUUACCAAGGCUUUGAAGGGUAGGCGGCCUGAGAGGGUGACCGGCGACAUGGGUACUGAGAUACGGACCAGACGCCAACGGGAGGCAGCAGUGGGGAAUAUUGCAGAAUGGGCGGAAGCCUGAGGCAGCAACGCCGGGUGCGGGAUGACGUGCUUCGGGUGGUAAACCGCUGUGUCCUGAGACGAAGAGGGAGUGACGGUAAUGGGUAAAGAAGCACCGGCUAACUACGUG